rnacentral:RNase_P_RNA from 1 species
CAGGGUUAGUACUUAGCUGUCGGUUACUUUCAUGGUAACUGAGGAAAGUCCACCCACUUGAGCUUUGCUCAAUAGCCACUUGCGGAAGCAAGAUCCGGAAACGGAUGGCAACCACUCAGAAACGGGACCGCUUGCGAGGAAGAUGAUGAUGGAGAAGUUUCUGGUGACGGAAACAAGAUAACCCUUUGAUGCUCUUGCAAGAAAGGAUGAAACGGUGAGCCCUGGCUGGUGCAAGUCGAAAAUGGCUGCUAUGCAGCCUUGAAAGACGCUUAGUUAAAUGCUAAGGCAGGCGAUGAUAGCUUGCUAUCGAAAACGCCUGACAGAAGGUGGCUUAUUCUGGCCCUG